GCCAGACGGCCAAUGGGCUCAGGCUCUCUGACUUUGCUGUUCCUCCUGGGGUCUUUGCCCACCCUAUGCGGAGGGUACAGCUGACACAGGAGGCAUGAAGGGCUGGGAUCCCAGAAUUAUCAGAGCAGACCAGGCCUGUGCAGUUCUCCUCUGCAAACUGCCACCGGGAGGGCUAUGAUGAACUCUGGUAGCUCCGAUGUGUCUGAGCUGUGUUCACUCAUGGGCCAGGGGAGCUAUGGAGAGGGAGUGGAGCACCAGGGGAGCCCAUCCUUGGGAGACCCCAGGGGAGCCCAUCCCUGGGAGACCUCAGGGGAACCCAUCCCUGGAAGACCUCAGGGGAGUCCAUCCCUGGGAGACCCCAGGAGCCCUCAAGCAGUGAUUUCAGAGUCAUCUCUUCUUCCCUGCAGCCUGGCUAUCCUGCCUGGAACCUCUGAGACUGUUCUGUUCCUCACACCCUCUCAGAAGCAUCUCAGCAAGCCCUGUGGGAUUCAGUGUGGGUCUCUUGAGGUUACUUCCUACUCAUCCAUGCCUGGGCCCCUGGCUCCUUCUGCAAAGACUCCCAUUCCAGGUCCUAGAAGCAAUCCUGACUAGGGACAGCCUAGACCCUGCUCUGAGGCCUUAGUGUGUGAGCCAAGAGGUAAGUCAUACCCUGUGGGGUUUGUAAUGGGGCCUACCCGGACCUCACUCCAGACCUCACUAUCUGCUCUACCCUCAAGGUAAGUAUAAAUGAACCCUUUGCUCCAUUUUUGGGUCUUGACACAUAAGUCAUCUCCACAGGGAAGUCCUCUAUGAUUGCCCAGAUUGGGUUAGAUCUUGGAUACAUGUUCUCAUUAUGCUCAAGUCUUCUCCUUCCAUAACUCUCAUCACAUCUGACAUUUUUGGGUAAUGAGUCCUUUAUCAUCUGUUUCCCCUGCUAGACUAAGUAUCAUGGGUGCAGGGGUUUUCCGGCACGGCUCCAAAGCCUGGCACGUGAGAGGUGCGCAGUGAAUAUUUGACUGGAUGAAUGAAAUCCUGCUUGUUCUCCUCACCUGGAUAUCAUAUCAGCCUUACUGGGCUCCAACUCCACAGGGAAGCAGAGAAGCACGUGAGUUUCUGUCCCCUCCCCACCCCUCCCUGAAUGACUUAGUGUGGAGGACACUGGUAUGUGUUGAAAGGAGACUAUGAGAGAUCGAUGAUCAUGAGGCCAGUAAUAGAACUUGAGACAAGAAGGCCCCCUCCUUGGCCUCAGCCGACCCGAUGCGCCCACCAUAUGCCCUGUGGAGGCACAGCCUGUGGCUGACGACCCACAGGAGGAGAGGAGGGGCCGUGCCUCACCUCGCAGACCCGUCUGUGGCACAGGUGGGGAGCCAGACGGAACCCACCCCCCUCGCCCUGCCCGCAGGGAGUGCUGGGAAGUCUGCUGAUCAAUCAUAGAGGACAGCUCCAGCGCUGGGAGGAGGACUAGCAGGAGGAGUCUGAUCCCCAAGCAUAGCCAAUGGCUGCCUGCGUUUCUCCUCCACAGUGGAUGUGGCUACAGAAUUUGGGUUUUCACCUUGUUCAGAGGAGGCCUGGGUAGGUGAGGCCUGUAGCAGUUGGGAUUUUAUGCUGGCCCUGCUCAUCCUUUUUUUUUUUUUUUUUUUUUUUUUAAGGAUUUUAUUUAUUUAUUUGAGAGGGAGAGAUAGAGAUAGAGAGAGCAUAAACAGAGGGAGAGAAAAAGGGACAAACAGACUCCCCAGAGAGCACAGAGCCCAAGUGGGGUUCACUUCCAGGACCCCGAGAUCGUGACCUGAGCCAAAGUCAGAUGCUUAAUGGACUGAGCUACCCAGGUGCCCUGCUCAUACUUACACAUCUCAGGGCUUGGCUGCUGGGCGGGAAGGUCAGCCUGCUCUGGGGCACCUUAGCAUUCAGUCUCACAGGCUGGGUCCAGGUGACCGGCUCACUGUGGUUUGCCUGGAACUGUCCUAUUAUUAAGACUGUAAGUCCCACUGCCCAGGAAAUCCCUCAUUCCUGGGCACACCCAGAAACUGAUCACAUUCCCGAGUGACCCUUGCUCUAUGUGAUCAGCUAUAACACACUAGAUGCACAUCACAGCACGCUGGCCACCUCUUCUUCAGCUUGGCACAAGACUGCAAAAUUCCUUGGGGUUCAGGGUUGGGCUGGAGCUGGGGACAGGCAGCAGCCAGUUCAGGCCUGUGAAUCUGACCAGUUCAUAGGGACUGGUAUGAGCCCUAUCCGAUCCCGUGUCAAAACCCAGUGUGGGGGCCCCGAGACAGUCUAGUCUACGAGGCUGUGAUGUGGCUACAUAGAGCUGGCCUGGUUUUUGGGAGAUGCAUAUGUUCGUACAGAGCAUAAUAAGCCAGACCUGUAUACACUGGAAAUCUAAUGUGAGCUACACAGGUGAUUUAAGAUUUUCUAGAAACUAUAUUUAAAAAAAAGGGGGCACCUGUGUAGCUCAGUGGUUGAGCACCUGCCUUUGGCUCAGGUUGUGAUCCUAGAGUCUUGGGAUUGAGUCCUGCAUUAGGCUUCCCACUGGGAUCCUGCUUCUCCCUCUGCCUACGUCUCUGCCUCUCUCUCUGCGUUUCUCAUGAAUAAAUAAAUAAAAUCUUAUAAAGAAAGAAACA
rnacentral:lncRNA from 12 species